GCCAGGCCCUGCAGAGAGCUACUGGCACACAGAUUCGUGCACAGGGCUACUAGUUAGUAAUAAUAUCUGGUAUCAGAAAUUGAUGAUCAGGAUCCUGUUGUGAGGAUGAGGAAAGGAGCUAAGAAGCAUGGAGAGAGAAAACGGUCUCCUGUACAUUGAGGGGCUUUAAUCACUUCUCUAUAGAAUACAAAUUCAGAAGAACUCAUCAAUAACCCAUGGGGCUACCAUCCAUGUCAUCUAUUUAGUGUCUCUGGAGGCCCUCCGAUUACAGCCUGAUAGCUCUGCAGGCCUUGGCAAUGCUGGGGACAGAAAGAGGCAAAAGGACAAGGUCAAGAGUGUUUUAACAGCACAAAGAAAUUCACCAACCCAACAGCAUCGUGGAGAUGAGGCCUGCAAGCAGGCUGGGACAUGAUGGAUUCCAGGAGCUUGGGAGGGAGCACGUGAUGAUGGAAGCACAGCUGGAAAAGAGAGCCAAAGGCGAGGCAACUUCAGCCUCAGGACGACAAGUCCUUGCCCACCUUCACCCCCUGUCCUGAUGUUUCUUAGUCUACUUACAUUUAA